rnacentral:lncRNA from 1 species
GGAGGAAUGGCCAGAGGAUGUUGAUGAUGACGCCUUGAGGGAGGUCUAUAUACUGGUAAAUGAGGAGUUGCCACAUAGAAUUUCCCUUGACCUGGGGUAACACCAGAUGGAUGUGGCGUAGUAGCUCUCUUUGUUGCAGCAGCGUAUAUUGGGUGACCCUCUCUUCCCAACAAGACUUGCACCGUUUCCAAGACCCAUCUCAUUUGGCUCUUCAAAAGAUUGAGUUCCCCCUUCAGUGCUUCUUGGCCUUUCCUUAGCUCGUCCAUCAUCUCCUGAGACAUGGUUCUUU